ACGGCGGAAAACUUGGUAGCACCAAGUGUUUCGUGCUAUUAAUAGCAUAGUCGCGGGACUCUCUCUCUCUCUCUCUCUCUCACUCAAUAUAUAUAUAUAUAUAUAUAUAUAUAUAUAUAUAUAUAUAUAUAUAAAAUUGAGCUGGAAUGCUAUUGAUAGUAUUUGGCCACUUUGGCUAUCAAGUUUUUAACUCUUGGAUCAGAAAUUAUAGGGUUAGAAUGAUAUUAGUCUUUUAAGGUCGAGUGGUCCCCCUAAGGUUGAGUGGUCCCCACAGGAUAAUAGUAUUAAUCUAAAGAUUAGAAAUGAUUAAAAUAACUGAUCUAAAGGCGAAAAAAUCAGAAACAUCGUAUCUUCUAUAUUUGCGACAGCAUAGUAGCUCUAAUAUAUA
rnacentral:lncRNA from 1 species